rnacentral:rRNA from 2 species
UAGGGAAUCUUCCGCAAUGGGCGAAAGCCUGACGGAGCAACGCCGCGUGAGUGAUGAAGGUCUUCGGAUCGUAAAACUCUGUUAUUAGGGAAGAACAAAUGUGUAAGUAACUAUGCACGUCUUGACGGUACCUAAUCAGAAAGCCACGGCUAACUACGUGCCAGCAGCCGCGGUAAUACGUAGGUGGCAAGCGUUAUCCGGAAUUAUUGGGCGUAAAGCGCGCGUAGGCGGUUUUUUAAGUCUGAUGUGAAAGCCCACGACUCAACCGUGGAGGGUCAUUGGAAACUGGAAAACUUGAGUGCAGAAGAGGAAAGUGGAAUUCCAUGUGUAGCGGUGAAAUGCGCAGAGAUAUGGAGGAACACCAGUGGCGAAGGCGACUUUCUGGUCUGUAACUGACGCUGAUGUGCGAAAGCGUGGGGAUCAAACAGG